CGCCCUACGGGACGCAGCAGUAGGGAAUCUUCCACAAUGGGCGCAAGCCUGAUGGAGCAACACCGCGUGAGUGAAGAAGGGUUUCGGCUCGUAAAGCUCUGUUGUUGGAGAAGAACGUGCGUGAGAGUAACUGUUCACGCAGUGACGGUAUCCAACCAGAAAGUCACGGCUAACUACGUGCCAGCAGCCGCGGUAAUACGUAGGUGGCAAGCGUUGUUCGGAAUAACUGGGCGUAAAGGAUGCGUAGGCGGGUAAAAAAGUUAUAUGUUAAA
rnacentral:rRNA from 1 species